rnacentral:rRNA from 1 species
AAAACGACUCUCGGCAACGGAUAUCUCGGCUCUCGCAUCGAUGAAGAACGCAGCGAAGUGCGAUACUUGGUGUGAAUUGCAGAAUCCCGCGAACCAUCGAGUCUUUGAACGCAAGUUGCGCCCGAAGCCUUUCGGCCGAGGGCACGUCUGCCUGGGUGUCACGC